ACAUUUAGUAAUAUAUAUUCUAGAGUCAGCCAAUGAUGUUAGCAGCUGAUUAAAUAUAAACAAGACAAAAGGUUAUUAAUAAUGAAUGAAGUGAUUUCUUGAGUAAAUAAAAUACUAACUUAUUAUAAAUAAAUAAAAUCUCUUUUAGAGGCAAAAUUUCAAGGGUUUGCGCAUAGAGAGAGAGAGUUAAAUUAUGCAAAAGCUACGCCAUAAGUAAGCUUUAUUAACAUAUGCAAAACAGAGCGGAGAAAUCGGUAACAAUUCUUUGAUUGCAGAACCAAAACGGGAGUAAACGAGAGACUCUGGCCAAUUUCCCCGCACAAGUGUUAAUUAACCGAGCUCUAAUCCCAAAAGCAAAUACCCACAAAAGGGCGCCAACGCCUCUGCAAUCUAUUUUUAUAUACACUUGGCUUUUAUUUUUUUUUUAUGUUUUUUUUUUUUUUCGUCGAGAUUCCAGGCACGUAGCGCAUUUCAUUUCGUUUAAUUUCAUUCCGAUUCGAGCCGUUUCUCUACUUUAAAUGGCUAAAAACCGACAAACUUGGCUCGAACUCAAAACGCGUGCGUGCGUUUCUUCUUUUCUUUUCAUGUCUCUCUUUUCUUUCCACACAAUUUUUGGGGCUUUGAAAAAAGUGAAAACUACACGGAGAGCAGCGGCCAGACGACGGGCUUAUUACCAAAAAGUGGAAAAUUGCCAACCGAAAAUUGUCUGGGUAGCGGGAUAUCCAAUUGGGUGGUGUCUAAAAUGGAUGGAUAGGCUCUUUGGAUGUGGAUGUUGAUGUAGAUGUGGAUGUGGAUGUGGAUGUGACCAAGCGGAGCGAUGAAGAAAGCGUGCCCAAGUGCGACUUAAAGCCCCGAAGGUCGAUGGCUACUUGGCUAUAGCUUCUGCACAGGGAGAACCAGUUAAAAUCAUAUUUAGAAUUCAUCUUGGCCUGGUUUAAAUAUGCUUGAGUCUUUUAAAAAUCAAAUCAGAUCAAUGCCCAAUAUUAAACCAACCCAGACUUGGAGUUUAGCAAGAAAAUAAACAACUUCAGUUAGCAGAAACUAAAAAAUCUGUCAAAA